AUUGAACGCUGGCGGCAGGCCUAACACAUGCAAGUCGAACGAGUGGCGGACGGGUUAGUAAUGACUGGGAACCUGACUGAUGGAGGGGGAUAACUAAUGGAAAAGGUAGCUAAUACCGCAUACCAUCAGCUGUGCCCAGAUGGGAUUAGCUAGUAGGUGGGGUACUGGCUCACCUAGGCGACGAUCCCUAGCUGGUCUGAGAGGAUGACCAGACACACUGGAACUGAGACACGGUCCAGACUCCUACGGGAGGCAGCAGUGGGGAAUAUUGCACAAUGGGCGCAAGCCUGAUGCAGCCAUGCCGCGUGUGUGAAGAAGGCCUUCGGGUUGUAAAGCACUUUCAGCGGGGAGGCGGUACCCGCAGAAGAAGCACCGGCUAACUCCGUGCCAGCAGCCGCGGUAAUUC
rnacentral:rRNA from 1 species